rnacentral:rRNA from 1 species
GAUGAACGCUGGCGGCGUGCCUAAUACAUGCAAGUCGAGCGAACAGACGAGGAGCUUGCUCCUCUGACGUUAGCGGCGGACGGGUGAGUAACACGUGGAUAACCUACCUAUAAGACUGGGAUAACUUCGGGAAACCGGAGCUAAUACCGGAUAAUAUAUUGAACCGCAUGGUUCAAUAGUGAAAGACGGUUUUGCUGUCACUUAUAGAUGGAUCCGCGCCGCAUUAGCUAGUUGGUAAGGUAACGGCUUACCAAGGCAACGAUGCGUAGCCGACCUGAGAGGGUGAUCGGCCACACUGGAACUGAGGCACGGUCCAGACUCCUACGGGAGGCAGCAGUAGGGAAUCUUCCGCAAUGGGCGAAAGCCUGACGGAGCAACGCCGCGUGAGUGAUGAAGGUCUGCGGAUCGUAAAACUCUGUUAUUAGGGAAGAACAAAUGUGUAAGUAACUAUGCACGUCUUGACGGUACCUAAUCAGAAAGCCACGGCUAACUACGU